GCCCGGUUAGCUCAAUCGGUAGAGCGUGAGACUCUUACUACAAGUAGAGUUCACAUCUCAAGGUUGCGGGUUCGACCCCCGCAUCGGGCU
rnacentral:tRNA from 1 species